CGCCCUGGCAAUGGGCAAAGAGACCACCUUGUUGUAGGUGGUGGUGUUUUUAUAUCAAUCAGGGGCAGAGCAGAUGGCAGACCUUUGUUCAACUCAGCUUGAUGCCUGGCUUGGUGGGCAAAGCUGUCUUAUGUCAAGGACACCUCA